AUACGUGCUCCGGGGUCGGUGUAAGUCCGAACCGGCGGUGACAGUCCGCGACCCGCGAGCCGGUGCUUCCCCAGGGAGGACACCGGCGGACGGUUGAACCGGUGAAAUUCCGGUACCGACAGUUAAAGUCUGGAUGAGAGAAGCACGUAC
rnacentral:ncRNA from 1 species